UGGCUUUGUGUCAGCAGGAAGAACCUUCCAUCAGGUGGCUGCUGUGGGUGGGAGGCGGGUCUCUCACCUGGCUCUGGUUUGGACUCGGAGAAAUGGAUGAGGUGAGUCAUUUGCGUGAUGGAUUUGGAGACUGGGCCACGCCCAGACUUCCCUCCCACCAGAAAGUCCCUUGAUGCCGCAGCCUCGCCUCCGGGAGCUUUCCUGUGCAAACACAGCUUGGCACUUGGCCCUGCGGACCGGGGAGGACGGCACACCCUCGGCUGCUCCCUCGGGUCAGUGGGAAUGAAUGCCCCUUGAUGUCAUCGCUUUCCCUUUCACGCACCUGCCAGGGCCACUCCCCCCUGCAGCCCCGUGCUGACGUUGAAGCGUGGUCUCUCCCUGACAUGCCUGCCGUCGCAGCUGAGCCACCUCUGAGCCCACCCCGCAAUGCCCUGUCACUGGGAGCCUCUUCCUAGGCCCCGCUGACUUUACCUACCGGCCAUGGGGUCCCCGAGAACCCAUCAUCUCUGCAGUGGUGACAGGUCCUGCCCAACGUCUGUGGCUCACACUCAAACCAGCAAUGUUUUUUGUGGACACCAUUGUUUUGGGCCAUUAACUAUAAUUUGUGCAUGUGUGACAUUUCCUGAGCUGCUGCUGGCGGUCGUCAUGGAUGCUGUCAGGAGAGCAGCAGCAGAGGGGAGAGUCUUCUCACGGGCAGUGACUGGGACAGAGGCUUGUGGUAACACGACCUGCACUGGAAAAGCUGUGUCAGUGCCCUGGCCUCAGUGUCCUCCUCGGUAAAUGGGGGUCUGAUAGUGGAGAGGAUCCCACAGGCUGACAAGUGCAAAGCUUUGGCACAGGAGAGCACAGGAGGGGUCAGGGGCUGAAUUUUGCACACACACCCCCCAUUCCUGUGUUGAAGUCCUUACCCCACCCCACUCCCAGUCUUCAGAAAGUGACUGGAUUUGGAGAUGGGGCCUUUACAGAGGCAAUUAAGGUUAUAUGAGGUCGUUAGGAUGGUUUCUAAUCCAGUAGGACUGGUGUCCUUAUAAGUAGAGGAGAUGAGGACACAGACACACAGAGGGACGACCCCGUGAGGACACAGGGAGGAGAGGCCGCAGGAGGAACCAGCCCUGGGAUACCUGGGUCUCGGACUUCUGUCCUCUAGGUGGUGACAGCAUGACUCUGAGGUUUUGAGCCCCCAGCCUGGGGCACUUUGUUAUGGUGGCCGCAGCAGACUAAGACAGUCGGUGCUCAAGAGCGAAGGCCGCCACCAGUGUCACCUCUCAUGGGACUCUCUGGAGCUUGAAGUGUGGUACUCCAUUUCUGAAGGACGCCUGAGCCACAUUUCUACGUGCUUAGAACUUUUCCUGUGCAUAUUUGAAAAUGCAUUUUAGAAAGAUAAAUAUUAGCGGGUCUUGCUGCUGUUAGAAGUAUCGUGGCAUCUGUUUC